rnacentral:rRNA from 1 species
CAGGCUUAACACAUGCAAGUCGAGGGGCAGCAUGGUCUUAGCUUGCUAAGGCCGAUGGCGACCGGCGCACGGGUGAGUAACACGUAUCCAACCUGCCGUCUACUCUUGGACAGCCUUCUGAAAGGAAGAUUAAUACAAGAUGGCAUCAUGAGUCCGCAUGUUCACAUGAUUAAAGGUAUUCCGGUAGACGAUGGGGAUGCGUUCCAUUAGAUAGUAGGCGGGGUAACGGCCCACCUAGUCUUCGAUGGAUAGGGGUUCUGAGAGGAAGGUCCCCCACAUUGGAACUGAGACACGGUCCAAACUCCUACGGGAGGCAGCAGUGAGGAAUAUUGGUCAAUGGGCGAGAGCCUGAACCAGCCAAGUAGCGUGAAGGAUGACUGCCCUAUGGGUUGUAAACUUCUUUUAUAAAGGAAUAAAGUCGGGUAUGCAUACCCGUUUGCAUGUACUUUAUGAAUAAGGAUCGGCUAACUCCGUGCCAGCAGCCGCGGUAAUACGGAGGAUCCGAGCGUUAUCCGGAUUUAUUGGGUUUAAAGGGAGCGUAGAUGGAUGUUUAAGUCAGUUGUGAAAGUUUGCGGCUCAACCGUAAAAUUGCAGUUGAUACUGGAUAUCUUGAGUGCAGUUGAGGCAGGCGGAAUUCGUGGUGUAGCGGUGAAAUGCUUAGAUAUCACGAAGAACUCCGAUUGCGAAGGCAGCCUGCUAAGCUGCAACUGACAUUGAGGCUCGAAAGUGUGGGUAUCAAACAGGAUUAGAUACCCUGGUAGUCCACACGGUAAACGAUGAAUACUCGCUGUUUGCGAUAUACGGCAAGCGGCCAAGCGAAAGCGUUAAGUAUUCCACCUGGGGAGUACGCCGGCAACGGUGAAACUCAAAGGAAUUGACGGGGGCCCGCACAAGCGGAGGAACAUGUGGUUUAAUUCGAUGAUACGCGAGGAACCUUACCCGGGCUUAAAUUGCAGAUGAAUUACGGUGAAAGCCGUAAGCCGCAAGGCAUCUGUGAAGGUGCUGCAUGGUUGUCGUCAGCUCGUGCCGUGAGGUGUCGGCUUAAGUGCCAUAACGAGCGCAACCCUUGUUGUCAGUUACUAACAGGUUCCGCUGAGGACUCUGACAAGACUGCCAUCGUAAGAUGUGAGGAAGGUGGGGAUGACGUCAAAUCAGCACGGCCCUUACGUCCGGGGCUACACACGUGUUACAAUGGGGGGUACAGAGGGCCGCUACCACGCGAGUGGAUGCCAAUCCCCAAAACCUCUCUCAGUUCGGACUGGAGUCUGCAACCCGACUCCACGAAGCUGGAUUCGCUAGUAAUCGCGCAUCAGCCACGGCGCGGUGAAUACGUUCCCGGGCCUUGUACACACCGCCCGUCAAGCCAUGGGAGCCGGGGGUACCUGAAGUGCGUAACCGCGAGGAGCGCCCUAGGGUAAAACUGGUGACUGGGGC